GGUAUUCCUCCGGAGCUGGAAUAUUCCUACGGCAUUGGGCGGCGGCCGCGCGAAUGCAUCGCGGAAAAUAAGCAGCAGCAGCAACCUCGAGAGAUAUAGGCGGCAGAGAAAUAAGCGAGAAAGAUCGUACCCGCAGCUUCACCGGAGGCUUUUCAACCGACCAGAAGUCCAACGGAGUUCGCGGCUGUGUGGAUAUCACGGGGAAGAAACCAGGCAUGAGCGCUACGUGUAUAAACAUCUAGAUAUAGAUAUAGCCCAUCGAGAUGAGGGCUUAGAUUGGCUUGCGUAUAGGAUACGAGAGAAGGGACCAUGAACCCCGACGUGUAGUGCCGCCGGGUCAUUCCCGGCCACUAUGCACAUCUUCGGCAUAUAUAUAAAUAUACAGGCUGCGCCAAAAGUCUUUUCUCCGAUUAUUAACUCGACGCAAUGGAGUUUUUCGCCAUCUGAAUGGAAACUCCAAUCGUUUUUUCUUCGAACCUCUCGUGCGUGUAUGGAGUGCUGAAACUACACUGGGAAAAAAAGUCAUUGCGGAGGAACGAAAUGUGGCAUUGAGGGGUGCCAAUGAAAUAUGUGAUCAUCACAGGGUUAAACACGAUUAAACGAAUAAAAUUGUUUCAGAUCAAACUGCAGAUUCAUUGUCUCCGAAAGCAUUGCAGUUUAAUGAAGAAAACUCUUCCAAUAACAUCAAUUUCUCUUGAAUCAACAAUCUUUUUUUCUCAGUGUAGUUUCCAGUAAUCAACGGUCUCCUUGUACAAGCUUUUUGGACGCCUCCGCAGCACCGGUCUGGAUCCUUGAUUUCUGCCGCGAUUCUUCAAUUGCUACCUGGGCGAAGAUGCUGCAGAAAUUCUUGUGCCUCCGCACGCCCAAGCUGCUAUCGAUUCUGAUCACUGGAUCGUAAUGGAGUUGAACAAUCGCCAGAUUCAUUGAAAACUGAGUCGAACUAUGUGGACUUUUAAAGCAUCGGACAAAUGUCAUAAUCCUCUUACGAGUUCAUCCGUGGUGAAUGAAAAUGUUAAUCCCUUUGGGCCAGCGGCCAAGAAAAUGUUUCGAGUCCCUUGGAAAUGAAGCGGUUGGAAUGAAGCUCCGAAUGGCUUCGAUCCGAAAAUCGUCUAGUUUAUUCCUGGAAAUUUUCGUACGAAAUAAGACGUUUCAAAUGGGAGGAUAUCGUGCAAGUCGAGAUGCAUGGGAGCUGUCGUCCCCCUCCGCGAUUGCAGGUGCUUCAUUCCAGUAAGAUGUAUAACUCGUAGGAGGCGAGUGAGUAAUGAGGGAAGAAAAAAGGAAGGGAUCGCGGAGAGAAGCCAAUGAAGAAGGUACGUGUCAACCUGUCUAUCUCGGGUUUCUCACAAGGGCCUUCCGACGUUCGUCACUUCCAGUAAACAUCUCAAGUUCAAAAUGCAUUUUUGUAAUCCCCUUGAUCCGAUCAAUGUCACGCUGAAAUAAAAAGAAAGUAAUCCACUUGACGAUA